rnacentral:rRNA from 1 species
UCUCCGUGCAGCGCACGGCGAAUUGUAAUCUAGAGAGGCUAUGCUCAAAGGGUGGUGGCGCAGAAGUGCCCUGGAACGGGCCGCCAAAGAGGGUGACAGCCCCGUACGUGGCGCCGCCGCCUAACGAGCAGGUCUUCGAAGAGUCGGGUUGUUUUGUAUUGCAGCCCUAAGUGGGAGAUAAACUUCUUCUAAGGCUAAAUAUAUGUGGGAAACCGAUAGCGAACAAGUACUGUGAAGGAAAGAUGAAAAGCACUUUGGAAAGAGAGUCAAAAGACCUGAAACCGUUGAGGAGGAAGCGGUAGAGAUGAAUUCUACGGCGAGGCGCUGGGGAGCCAGCCUAACCAUGGCGGGGAGGUCGUACGUCAAAGGCGGCACUUCGUCCAAGGGGAAGCUGGUGACUUGCGCGGCGUUGUGAGGCCGGAUGGGGUGACGUGAUCACAGAGGCCUGCCAGGCCUGGCUCGUUUCGACGGGCAGCCUGGGAGUGCCGGUGGCUGCGUGGCCUGAGGAUGCUUUGUGCGAUCCGGUCAAAAUGGUCUUUACCGACCCGUCUUGAAACACGGACCAAGGAGUCUA